rnacentral:lncRNA from 1 species
CUGACCUUAUCUGCCCUGACUGUAGUACCAGGCAGGUGCUGCUGCUUAAGCCAAGGAAAGGGUCUUUAGAAUGACCACUGAGGGAGGGGUGCCCCAGACUGAAUAGUGUUGGAUUUUCAUUCAGUCAUUCAGAAAAGACUUCUCGAGCAUUCACCACAUGCCAGGCCUGCUGGAAAUGAAGCAGGCAACAAAAGGGACAAAAAUCCCUCCCCUAGAGCUGGAUUUCUCAUGGAAGGAGGCAGACACAGGCAGUCCAGAAGGCACCAGCCCAGGGAAAGAGGCAACUGAGAAAAGUGGAGCUGGGGAAGAGGUAUUGUAAUUUUUCUGUCUGAGGAGUGUGGCCCUUCAAGAGCCAGAGUUCUGGCUUCAGACUACCUGGGUUCAAAUUCUGACUCAACGUCUUUUAGGUGUGUGUCCUGAGGAGACAUUGGAUGGAGAGUAUGUGAGGAAUGAAGAACCAAAAGCAGGCAGAGCAGAUGAGAAGUGCUUUGGUCAUGCCUGACACCGCCCUGCCCAGAGACAAAAUGGUCCCCUCCAAGUCCUCUGGCCAAGUCUUGGUUUGGCUGCUGGUGGCAACAGGAGCUGCAUCUGUGACACUAACCUGGAGAGAGGGUCUCCAGAUCCUGGAUCAAGCCAGCCCAGACCCACUGGCUAUAAAUUCCCACUCUAG